rnacentral:rRNA from 1 species
ACUCCUGCGGGAGGCAGCAGUGGGGAAUUUUGGACAAUGGGCGAAAGCCUGAUCCAGCAAUGCCGCGUGAGUGAAGAAGGCCUUCGGGUUGUAAAGCUCUUUUGUCAGGGAAGAAACGGUGAAAGCUAAUAUCUUUUGCUAAUGACGGUACCUGAAGAAUAAGCACCGGCUAACUACGUGCCAGCAGCCGCGGUAAUACGUAGGGUGCAAGCGUUAAUCGGAAUUACUGGGCGUAAAGCGUGCGCAGGCGGUUUUGUAAGUCUGAUGUGAAAUCCCCGGGCUCAACCUGGGAAUUGCAUUGGAGACUGCAAGGCUAGAAUCUGGCAGAGGGGGGUAGAAUUCCACGUGUAGCAGUGAAAUGCGUAGAUAUGUGGAGGAACACCGAUGGCGAAGGCAGCCCCCUGGGUCAAGAUUGACGCUCAUGCACGAAAGCGUGGGGAGCAAACAGGAUUAGAAACCCCGGUAGUCCCAUGA